AAAACCAGCUCAGGAGACGCCAAGGCAAGAUGGGACCUCCUGGCCCAGAGCGGGUAUUCCCGAUGCCCCUGCCCAGGAAGGCGCCUCUCAAUAUUCCUGGCACCCCAGUCCUCGAAGACUUUCCUCAGAAUGACGAUGAGAAGGAGCGGCUGCAGCGGAGGCGCUCAAGGGUCUUUGAUUUGCAGUUCAGCACUGACUCACCUCGCUUAUUGGCCUCCCCCUCCAGCAGGAGUAUUGACGUUUCAGCUACUAUCCCCAAGUUUACAAACACACAGAUUACGGAACAUUACUCCACCUGUAUCAAACUGUCCACUGAAAAUAAAAUCACUACCAAGAAUGCUUUUGGUUUGCACUUGAUUGAUUUUAUGUCAGAGAUUCUUAAACAGAAAGACACUGAACCAACCAACUUUAAAGUGGCUGCGGGUACUCUGGAUGCCAGCACCAAGAUAUAUGCCGUGCGCGUGGAUGCCGUCCAUGCUGAUGUAUACAGAGUCCUUGGGGGGCUGGGCAAAGAUGCACCGUCUUUGGAAGAAGUGGAAGGCCAUGUUGCUGAUGGAAGUGCUACUGAAAUGGGAACAACCAAAAAGGCUCCAAAGCCAAAGAAGAAGCACUUACGCAGAACCAUUGAGCAGAACAUAAACAACCUUAAUGUCUCUGAAGCAGAUCGCAAGUGUGAGAUUGAUCCCAUGUUUCAGAAGACAGCAGCCUCAUUUGAUGAGUGCAGCACAGCAGGGGUGUUUCUGUCCACUCUCCACUGCCAGGACUACAGAAGUGAACUGCUGUUUCCCUCUGAUGUCCAGACUCUCUCCACGGGAGAACCUCUGGAGUUGCCAGAGUUAGGUUGUGUAGAAAUGACAGAUUUAAAAGCGCCCUUGCAGCAGUGUGCAGAAGAUCGCCAGAUCUGCCCUUCCCUGGCCGGGUUCCAGUUUACUCAAUGGGACAGUGAAACACAUAAUGAGUCUGUGUCGGCCCUGGUAGACAAGUUUAAGAAGAAUGACCAGGUAUUUGACAUCAAUGCCGAAGUUGAGGAGAGUGACUGUGGAGACUUCCCUGAUGGGUCCCUGGGGGACGACUUUGAUGCCAACAAUGAACCUGACCACACCGCAGUUGGGGAUCAUGAAGAGUUCAGGAGCUGGAAGGAGCCCUGCCAGGUUCAGAGCUGCCAGGAAGAUAUGAUUUCCCUUGGGGAUGGAGACAUCAGGACCAUGUGCCCCCUUCUGUCUAUGAAACCUGGAGAAUAUUCUUAUUUCAGUCCUCGGACCAUGUCGAUGUGGGCUGGCCCGGAUCACUGGCGCUUUAGGCCUCGACGCAAACGUAUGUAAUUCUAGGUGGAAUUUUAAGAAAAGAAAUAGUGUAGAUGACCAGCCAGUCAGCAGUUAGCCAAGGAAGAGAAAUGCCAGUCACAGCCCUGUUGUGUCUCUUAAUAAGCCGAGGAAGCAUACAGAUGAGCCAGCUUCCUGGUUGGUCAGUUUGCCUGGCCUGGGAUGAAGGGACAGUGAAAAUGGAAGCCUCUGAGUGAGGAGAGUGAGUACUGGAGUCAGGAGAACUGGGCUCCCAGCCUCACACUGCUCCC
rnacentral:sRNA from 1 species